GGAAGGAUCAUUAAUGAAAUUACAAUCCGGCGAGGGAAAGGCGGAGAGUUGUAGCUGGCCCCUCCGGGCAUGUGCACGCUCUCUUCCGGACUUUCGCCGUAUGGGCGCGGGGCGACCCGCGUCUUCAUAUACCUCUUCGUGUAGAAAGUCUUUGAAUGUCGAAACCAUCAUCGAGUCGCGACUUCUAGGAGACGCGAUUCUUUGAGACAAAAGUUAUUACAACUUUCAGCAACGGAUCUCUUGGCUCUCGCAUCGAUGAAGAACGCAGCGAAUCGCGAUAUGUAAUGUGAAUUGCAGAUCUACAGUGAAUCAUCGAAUCUUUGAACGCACCUUGCGCUCCUCGGUGUUCCGAGGAGCAUGCCUGUUUGAGUGUCAGUAAAUUCUCAACCCCUCUCGAUUUGCUUCGAGAGGGCGCUUGGAUGGUGGAGGCUGCCGGAGACCUGGAUUCGUUCAGGACUCGGGCUCCUCUGAAAUGAAUCGGCUUGCGGUCGACCUUCGACUUUGCAUGACAAGGCCUUUGGCGUGAUAAUGAUCGCCGUUCGCCGAAGUGCACGACAGAAAACGGUCCCGCGCCUCUAAUGCGUCGACGCCUUCCGGGCGUCUUCCUCAUUG
rnacentral:misc_RNA from 1 species